rnacentral:rRNA from 1 species
UACAGAGGGGGCCAGCGUUAUUCGGAAUUACUGGGCGUAAAGCGUGCGCAGGCGGUUAUGCAAGACAGAUGUGAAAUCCCCGGGCUCAACCUGGGAACUGCAUUUGUGACUGCAUGGCUAGAGUACGGUAGAGGGGGAUGGAAUUCCGCGUGUAGCAGUGAAAUGCGUAGAUAUGCGGAGGAACACCGAUGGCGAAGGCAAUCCCCUGGACCUGUACUGACGCUCAUGCACGAAAGCGUGGGGAGCAAACAGG